UACGGAAGGCAGCAGUGGGGAAUAUUGCACAAUGGGCGAAAGCCUGAUGCAGCUAUGCCGCGUGUAUGAAGAAGGCCUUAGGGUUGUAAAGUACUUUCAUCGGGGAGGAAAAAACAAAACUAAUAAUUUUAUUUCUUGACGUUACCCGAAAAAGAAGCACCGGCUAACUCCGUGCCAGCAGCCGCGGUAAUACGGAGGGUGCUAGCGUUAAUCAGAAUUACUGGGCGUAAAGAGCACGUAGGUGGUUUUUUAAAGUCAGAUGUGAAAUCCCUGGGCUUAACCUAGGAACUGCAUUUUGAAACUGAAAUACUAGAGUAUCGUAGAGGGAGGUAGAAUUCUAGGUGUAGCGGUGAAAUGCGUAGAUAUCUGGAGGAAUACCUGUGGCGAAAGCGGCCUCCUAAACGAAUACUGACACUGAGGGUGCGAAAGCGUGGGGAGCAAACAGGGAUUAGAUACC
rnacentral:rRNA from 1 species